CGACCGCUGGCGGCGUGCUUACCACAUGCAAGUCGCACGGAAAGGCCCUGCUUUUGUGGGGUGCUCGAGUGGCGAACGGGUGAGUAACACGUGAGUAACCUGCCCUUGACUUUGGGACAACUUCAGGAAACUGGGGCUAAUACCGGAUAGGAGCUCCUGCUGCAUGGUGGGGGUUGGAAAGUUUCGGCGGUUGGGGAUGGACUCGCGGCUUAUCAGCUUGUUGGUGGGGUAGUGGCUUACCAAGGCUUUGACGGGUAGCCGGCCUGAGAGGGUGACCGGCCACAUUGGGACUGAGAUACGGCCCAGACUCCUACGGGAGGCAGCAGUGGGGAAUAUUGCACAAUGGGCGGAAGCCUGAUGCAGCAACGCCGCGUGCGGGAUGACGGCCUUCGGGUUGUAAACCGCUUUCGCCUGUGACGAAGCGUGAGUGACGGUAAUGGGUAAAGAAGCACCGGCUAACUACGUG
rnacentral:rRNA from 1 species